UAAAACACAGGUCACAACCAAAUGAUAUA
rnacentral:piRNA from 1 species